AACUUUUAACAGAUCGAGACAGUAAAAAACAAAUUUCUCUCCGAUGGCGAUGCAUUAUUCAUCCUCUCGACCUCAGCCAGUCGACUCGUUCCUCUCCGAUAUUCCAUGUUAUACGAUAUCUAUGGAAAAGAAAAAAAAACACGGCAACAUCGGCAAAUAUGGAUAAAUUCCUUAAUUACCUACGGAAUAUCAAACGUGUGAAGGUUUCUACAAACGACAUGGGGGAACUUGGAAGCGACAUAUAUAUUCUCAAAGAACAGAUGGGUUACCAAACUCAACAGUGAGUAUUUAUACAAACCAUAGCUGGAAAGUAUUCACUUAUGAAACCAUACUUCAACGUGACUUCCGAAACCAGACAACAGUAGGAAAACAAAAAGAUAAGUAGGAAACAUUUAACUAUUGUUUCAUAUUAUUAUGUUAUAUUUGAAAAAAAAGUCUGAUAUCAGUUGAACAAAAUUAAAGAGUUUGAUUGUUGUCUUUUUUUGG